rnacentral:lncRNA from 10 species
AUGCAAAGAGGCUGGGGAGCAUUGGAGAGCAAAUAGAAUAUUUAAUGAAGAUUACUAUCUCUGUCACAACAUGAUUUUCCACAGGUGUGGGCCCCAUUAGCUCUGGCCACCUGAGAAAGCCCUCAGGCAAAGAGUCGCAGGUGAAAGCCAGCAGUUAGAGGUUCACAGAAAUGAGUGCAGAAGCAUCUUCAGUUGGAGAGCCAUUGCCUCUUGCUGUGAAAUAUUUGGGAAUCUUCAGAAACCAUGAAGAAUAACCUGCUAAAGCUGAGCUGGGACUCUGCCUGGAUAUAACUUAUGGCCUAUUCUAUAUGGAAAGUUGGUUUUCUCACAGUUCCACUCCCUUUCCAGAUAUCAGCAAAUGGCCCUCCUAGCCCAGAAGUCUCCAGAGAGGCCACCAAGUUCUAUUGAACAUCAUGAAUCCUAUGCUCAAGUGAGAUCAGCUCAAGUGAGACCAGAUAUCUGAAGACCUUUUCAUUUUCGCCACCCUCAAAUGAAGGCAUGCAAGAUUGUUCCUGUAGAGACAAUAGAUGCUGUAAUGCAGAAAUUGAGAGACGGUAUCAAUAGAUAUUAUGGGAACUCACUAAAUUCAGACUGUACAGGAAAAGAAUGUUUCAGAAGAGUAAAAGACUAUUUUGGAAUGAAUUAUAGAGUAUUUUUUAAAGAAAUGUAAUUUUCUUCCUGUUUCCUUCCUGUUUAUCCACAUUUACAGAAAAUGUUUACAGGUAAUUUAAGAGACUCAUUAUCAUUUGAAAAAUUUUCUGAUCCUCUUAGCACCCAACAUACACUAGUAUUUUUCAAUAUAUAGCCACACAUUUCCCAUCAGGAUUUUUACAAAGUGGAAUUAAAUAGACCCAAUAGUUUCAGGCUUGCUGAAGAGAUGAAUAAACAACAUAGCAAAAGCCCUUUAAAUCUCCUAGCAAAGGAGACUUUCAAGUAUAAUGUGUUAUUUCCUUUCUAACCGC